rnacentral:sRNA from 1 species
GUGCUUGUACUUGCUGUUUUUUUUUUCCAGUAUGUAGUCCACAACAAUUUGAAUGAGCCAUUUCGGAUUUUCCUUUUUAUGAAAACCUUCUUUGUUUAGUUCAUUACUUCCAAAUUCUACCAAGAGUUGCCCUGCAGAGCUUACAGGCGGUCAGGUAGUUGCUUCUUAUGUUCCUUCCAACAGUAUUGGCCCCCUGGUGUAUAAAGUUCUACUGUACUUUCUGUGAGCACUGAAGAUCACUUAAAAUUCACUCUUCUAUUGAACCGGUGAUGAUGGAGGGCUCCGGCACUCUACUGAGGUAAGCAGUUGAAAUCUCCAGAGGGCAGAGAUCACUGGUCUGCACUAACAUAUUUGUGUCUGUUAAGCACCAUUGACACUCAAAUGUCUGAGCAAUCGUUAAGCAUCUUAGAUUGGUAUUUCAGCCACGUUUUGGAUUAAGAGGCUGCAUAUGAAGAAUUGAUUGUCGAGCUAAGAAAAUUGCAUAUAUGGCAACACAACUCUGGUUACUUUGAUUGUAGUAAUGUCAGUUUAAUUACUCGCUGUUCUGGCAUUCAGCAACGGCUGACAGGCUGAGUAGGUGCUGUAAUUUAAAUUCAUUUAAUCAUUUCUUCAAUUGCUCAAAGAAAAGAGAAGAAGCCACAAUAUAGCUAUUAAUAUUAGGAUUGAAACAGCAGGAUGGUAUUAUUAACCUAUUAGCAGUUGACAUAAAAAUGUAUCCUAUGAUUCGAUGCAGCAAGUUACUUCUAUUUCUGUCG